CUCAUGGAGAUUUUGAUCCUGGUUCAGGAUGAAUGCUGGCAACAUUCUUAAAACAUGCAAGUCAGAUGAGAAAUGGUGUUUGCAGUGGCGGACGGGUGAGUAACGAGUAAUAACUUGCCCUUUGGAGGAGAACAACAGCUGGAAAUGGCUGCUAAUACCUCAUAGGCGGAGGAUCCAAAAGAGGAAUCCACUCGAGGAGGGGCUCGCAUCUGAUUAGCUAGUUGGUAAGGCAAUAGCUUACGAAUGAGAUAAUAAAUAGCUGGUUUGAGAGAAUGAUCAGCCUCACAGGGACUGAGACAUGACCCAAAAUCUUACAGGAGGAUGCAGUCGGGAAUUUUCCACAGUGGGAAAAAUCCUAAUAAAGAAAUGCCGCAUGCAGGUAGAAAGCCCACGAGUCGUGAACUUAUUUUCCCAGAGAAUAAGUAAUGGUGAUAUCUAGUGCAUAAGUAUUGGAUAACUCUGUGCCAGUAGUCACGGUAAUAUAGAGGUUUCAAGCAUUAUUCGGAAUGAUUAGGCGUAAAUAAUCUGUAGGUGGCUUUUUAAGUCCGCCGUCAAAUCCCAGGUCUCAACCCUAGGUAGGCGGUGGAAAAUACCAAGCUCAAUUAUGGUAGGGGCAGAGGGAAUUUUUAGUGGAGCGAUGAAAUACGUAGAUACAGGAAAGAACACCAAUUACAAAAGCACUCUGCUAGGCUGACACUGACACUGAGAGACGAAAGCUAGGGGAGUGAAUAGGUUUAGAUACACUAGUAGUCCUACCUAUAAAUGAUGGAUACUUGGCACUAUCCGUAUCGACCUGUGUAGUGCUGUAGCUAACACAUUAAGAAACCCUCGCAAGAAAAACUUAAAGGAAUUGAUGGGGGCCCGCACAAGUGGUGGUGAAUAUGGUUUAAUUCGAUGCAAAGCGAAGAACCUUACUAGGGCUUGACAUGCCGUGAGUCCUCUUAGAAAAGAGGGGUGCCUUUAGGAAUAUGGACAUAGGUGGUGCAUAGCUGUAGUCAACUCAUCCUCUAAGGAAUUUAGUUAAGUACCACAACGAGCGCAACCCUCAUGUUUAGUUUUCACCAUUGAGUUUCGAACCCUGAACAGACUACUGAUGAUAAGCCAGAGGAAGUUUAGAAUGAUGUUAAUUCAUCAUGCCGCUUAUGCCCUAGGCAACACACGUGCUACAAUAGCCAGGACGAAGGGUCACGAUCCUGUGAGAGUGAGCUAACCCUAAAAACCCAUCCUCAGUUAGAAUUAUAGGCUGCAAUCGCUAUUAGUCGCCAGUCAACCAUACGGUGGUGAAUUUGUUCUCGGGCCUUCUACACACCGCCCAUCAAACUAUGGGAGCUAGCCAUGCCCAAAUUUGUUACCUUAACCACAAUGAGGGGGAUGCCAAAGGUAUGGUUAGUGACUGUAGUGAAGUCAUAACAAGGUAGCCGUACUGGAAGGUGCGGUUCGAUCACCUCCUUU
rfam:Capsicum annuum cultivar Zunla-1 chromosome 3, whole genome shotgun sequence